AUUGAACGCUAGCGGGAUGCUUUACACAUGCAAGUCGAACGAGUGGCGGACGGGUGAGUAAUGUAUCGGAACGUGCCCAGUAGCGGGGGAUAACUACUCGAAAGGGGGGCUAAUACCGCAUACGAUUGGAGCGGCCGAUAUGGGAUUAGCUAGUUGGGGGGGUAAAGGCUCACCAAGGCAACGAUCCGUAGAGGGUUUGAGAGGAAGACCAGCCAAACGGGAACGGAGGCACGGACCAGACUCCUAAGUGAGGCAGCAGUGGGGAAUUUUGGACAAUUGGGGAAACCCUGAUCCAGCCAUCCAGCGUGGAUGAGAAGGCCUGCGGGUUGUAAAGUUCUUUUGGCAGAGAAGCGGUAUCUGCAGAAUAAGCACCGGCUAACUACGUGCCAGCAGCCGCGGUAAUUC
rnacentral:rRNA from 1 species